AUGGACAGGGUAGAUCUCAGACAGACAAUCCACAGUGAGGUUUCUGGCACCCGGGGUGUGCAGUCCACACACAGGAACAGGAUGUUUCCAGCAGGAGGAGGAAGCACAAGGUUACACAGGCUUCAGAGUCAGGCUGCCAGGGAUCAAAUCCCAGCACCUCCUUUUUCCUGUGAUGGGGCUUGUUCAACUUCUUUGAUAUCUCUAAACUAGGGAUAACAACAGCACCCGCUUGAGACUAUUGGGUGGAUUGACUGAACUCAUCUAUGUAAAAUGCCCAGCACACAAUAAGCUUCAUCAGCUGUUAUAAUUAAGAUGAGGAAGCAGACGCAAAAAAGGCAACCAGGCAAAGUCCCUAUCGCCCAACCUACCCAGAAACCAACAGACCCCAGGGCACUUCGAGCUGGAAAGGGCUAGAAAGCUUACCACUUUUUUUUCUUUGAAGCUGAACACUUCUUUGAACGCUUUCUCUAACAUCGAUUUAAGGAUAUCUUUGAUCUUUGUGGAAACAAAGAAGAAUGCUUUAAGACUGCGCUUAGAAAUCUGGCCGUUUGGUUUUAAGGUCAUUGGCCUCUGCCUACCGUGCUCCUGAAUGAAUAGCUCAGGACUUCCAGGGCUACCUUUGGGCCAAAAGUUAAUAAUUUACAGCUGAGCAAGUGUAGGUAAACUGCCACUUUACAGCAAGCUUCUAAUCCCUCACUGAUCACUUUGAAAAUUACAAAGGACAUUCACUUCAAGUGUGAGCCAAUUCAGAAUCAACCUCAUGCUAAUUUGAUAUAAGCUGUUCACUGAGGGAAAAAGUCCAAAGGAGGUUCUAACUUAUUUUCUAAAUGGACAUCGUAUCAAAAUUAAAAAUUCAAUGACAGCAUCUUUUAGCUCAAUCAUAGUUAAGUAUAUAAUACUGCUGAAUUUAAAGUCAGCAGAGAUUAUCUAGACUUUACUAUGAAAUAUAGACAAGCUGUGCUUUUAAAAGGUUUAUUUAAAUUACUGAUUAUAAAAGUAAUCCAAGCCCAUUUGUGAAAAUUUGGAAAAUGUGGAAGAGUAUAAAGAAAAAAAAAACUACUCAUUCUAUGAGCACCGAGAGAUAAACGUUAUCAUGUUGGCGCACUUCCUUCUGGCCUUUUUCUCCAGAUCAGAGGAAGAGGAAGGGUGGUGUAUCUUCAUGAAACUACUAACCCAAACCCAGAACACAGCCAUCUCGCUACUAAAGUCUCAGAGAUAUUGAGCUUGGACUUCGACCAUGGGUUCUGGAGUCCAUUCAAUUCCCAGCCUUGGCCAUUCCUGGCUGUGUAAUUUCAAGGAAAUUACCUAAACACUCUGAGUUUUGAUUCUAUCGUCAAUAAAAUGAAGGAAAUGCUAAAAAAAAAAAAA
rnacentral:lncRNA from 1 species